rnacentral:rRNA from 1 species
UACAGAGGGGGCAAGCGUUAUUCGGAAUUAUUGGGCGUAAAGGGCGCGUAGGCGGCUUUAUAAGUCGGGGGUGAAAGCCUGUGGCUCAACCACAGAAUUGCCUUCGAUACUGUAGAGCUUGAGACCGGAAGAGGUAAGUGGAACUGCGAGUGUAGAGGUGAAAUUCGUAGAUAUUCGCAAGAACACCAGUGGCGAAGGCGGCUUACUGGUCCGGUUCUGACGCUGAGGCGCGAAAGCGUGGGGAGCAAACAGG